rnacentral:rRNA from 1 species
GAUGAACGCUGGCGGCGUGCUUAACACAUGCAAGUCGAGCGAGAGAUCUCGAAGGAAAACUUCGGUCGGAAUUCGAGUGAUCUAGCGGCGGACGGGUGAGUAACGCGUGGGAAACCUGCCUCAUACAAGGGGAUAGCCUCGGGAAACCGGGAUUAAUACCCUAUGAAGCUCCGGGACCGCAUGGUCCUGGAGCCAAAGCUCCGGCGGUAUGAGAUGGUCCCGCGUCCCAUUAGCUAGUUGGCGGGGUAACGGCCCACCAAGGCGACGAUGGGUAGCCGGCCUGAGAGGGUGAACGGCCACACUGGAACUGAGACACGGUCCAGACUCCUACGGGAGGCAGCAGUGGGGAAUAUUGCACAAUGGGGGAAACCCUGAUGCAGCGACGCCGCGUGAGCGAAGAAGGCUUUCGGGUCGUAAAGCUCUGUCCUAAGGGAAGAUAGUGACGGUACCUUAGGAGGAAGCCCCGGCUAACUACGUGCCAGCAGCCGCGGUAAUACGUAGGGGGCGAGCGUUAUCCGGAAUUAUUGGGCGUAAAGGGUUCGCAGGUGGCCUGUUAAGUCAGAUGUGAAAGGCAGUGGCUCAACCAUUGCAAGCAUUUGAAACUGGCAGGCUUGAGUACAGGAGAGGAAAGCGGAAUUCCUAGUGUAGCGGUGAAAUGCGUAGAUAU